AGUCCUGGGGGCUCCAAAGUGCUGUUCGUGCAGGUAGUGUAAUCACCUGACUACUGCUGAGCCAGCACUUCCCGAGCCCCCAGGACA
ensembl:miRNA microRNA 93